rnacentral:rRNA from 1 species
UACGGAGGGAGCUAGCGUUAUUCGGAAUUACUGGGCGUAAAGGGCGCGUAGGCGGCCUGCUAAGUCGAACGUGAAAUCCCCGGGCUCAACCCGGGAACUGCGUCCGAUACUGGUAGGCUUGAAUUCGGGAGAGGGAUGCGGAAUUCCAGGUGUAGCGGUGAAAUGACGCAGAUAUCAGGAAGAACACCCGUGGCGAAGGCGGUUCUCUGGGACGGUACUGACGCUGAGACGCGAAAGCGUGGGGAGCGAACAGG